rnacentral:tmRNA from 1 species
CCGCAGACGGGACACAGAGCCUGCUUCAAAAAUUCUUUCGGACCCCGAUAGAGGGACCUGAAUUUACUCGCUUGUGUCUAGAGGACCGUGGCAGUUUAUCUGAAAAUGGCGACCCAAACCAUGGACGUGGAGCCUGUUCAGACCGUGAACGCAAUUGAUGCCGCCAUCGCCGAGCUGAAGCUGAUGGCCGGCCACAGCCAUGAAGCUAAUGUGCUGGCUGGCAGGCUGCUUCAUUUUAAGAUGAGAGAAGUUUGUACCCAGACUGUGGCUCAGUUUCUGGAUGCCUUUUCCAGCGUGUUGGAUGAAGGGCUGUGUGCCUUUAUUGGAAACUACAGCCAGAGUUUGGAUGAGAUGGUUCAGCGCAGGUGUGCUGUGCCACGCCCGUGAUGAGAUCCGCUGGUUUGAGGGAUGCUAAUUUAAGUAGUUGUUUCAUCUUUGCCCCCGCCCUGGACUCUGAGGAAAAAACUGUGGAUGCAGUGUUUUCUGAGUUAACAAAGCUGUUGGCGUGUAAGUCGGGAGUGGGUAUGGAUCUGUCCACCUACUCUCAUGGAAAGAACCUGCAUGCUGUCCUGAAGGCCCUUGAUGGACAGAUCACUUACUUUAAUGAUCACAAUAUUAGGCCCGUCAGCGUGGCUGCCUAUAUGGAGAUUUGGCAUACCAACAUCAUGGACUUUCUGACUGCGAAGCUUCCAGAGAACCCAGAACGAUGUGGCAACUUAUUUCAAGGAGUGUGCAUACCAGAGAUUUUCUUCAGAACCUACAAAAAUGAUCCAGAGUCCAAUUGGUACCUGUUUGAUCCCAAGAAGGCCGAAGUCCUAACAAACACCUAUGGGUAUAUGUUUAGUAUAGCCUACGCAGGAUUAGUGGAGCAGGGGGCAUAUGAAGCAGUGGUUCCCAUUAAGAGCGUGAUGUUCGCUCUUGUUUCCUGCAUAAUAAAGACUGGGGGGCCUUAUAUUUUGAACAAGAAAGCUAUAAACAGACAUGACUGGCAUGAAUGGUCCACACAUCAGUAUAGGGCCAUUAAUUGUGCAAAUCUUUGUGCAGAGGUGAUACAGUAUCCAGGAGAGAACGUGUCCACCUGUAACCUGGCCAAUAUCUGUCUGCCAAAGUGUUUGGAGGAUGACAAAUUUGUCUCUGGAAAGAGUUGUCUACUCACGUACGAGCGUGAGUUUUCCAUUGAGAGGCUGGAGAGGGCCACAGAGGCUGCAGUGUUUAUCAUCAAUGCCUGCAUCCAUGGUGGCACUUUACCUACACAGAGGGCCAGGCGGGGGCAGAGUGACAGGUCUAUGGGUAUUGGAGUACAAGGAUUAGCAGAUACCUUUGCUAUGAUGGGGUUGGGAUAUUUUGAUGCAGGGAGUGAGAUACUUGAUCAGAAGAUAGCAGAGACCCUGUAUUUCAAUGCACUCAAUACCAGUAUCAACUUUGUGAAGAUAGGCAAGGGGGAACCCUAUGCUAACUAUGAGCAGAGUAAGCAUUCCAUUGGGGUGCUCCAUUGGCAUGACUGGGACAUGUGUAGCCCCAUGGUCUAUACAAGAGAUGAGUGGGAAGAUUUGGCAAGGUCCUGCGAGGUACAUGGUGUAUACAAUUCACAAUUUGUGGCCUAUAUGCCUACUGCUGGCACUGGGCAAAUCACAGGUUACUCAGACUCCUUCUAUCCAUUUUAUUCAUCCAUGUCAUCCAAGGUGUCAAAUAAAGAAGAAAUCUUGCGACCCAACAUGACCCUCAUGAGCAGAAUGUCAGAUAGUGAGGUCCAGACCCUUAGGGAGUGUAACUGGGAUAUUGCCAAACUUCCAGAGCCCCUGCUGCAGAAAUAUAGAAUUUUCCUGUCAGCCUUUGAUUAUGAACCCAGCCUGUAUGUACGCAGAGCUAUGCUUAGGGCACCAUUCAUUGAUCAGAGCCAGUCUAUGACCUUGUUUUUGAAUGAAGAUUAUGCAAGCAGUGCUUCAAAUAUAAAGAAUUUGUUGAUGUAUGGGUGGGAGUGUGGGUUGAAAACCUUGAUGUACUACUGCAGAAUACGUAAAACAGCAACCUCUAACGAAUUUGAAUGUGUCAGAAGGAAUUCACAACAGAAAUAUGUAAACUGUGCUGAUGGGGAAGGUGCUGGGGGGGAGGAGCCUUCUGAAAAUUGUAUAAAGGCUGAGGGUGCGACGUGUUCACUAUCUGUGGGUGCUUCUUGUCUGCACUGUCAAUAACUGAUUGCUCUCAAUAAAAUCAGUAAAAUUUA